rnacentral:rRNA from 1 species
UACGUAGGGUGCAAGCGUUGUCCGGAAUUAUUGGGCGUAAAGAGCUCGUAGGCGGUUUGUCGCGUCGGCUGUGAAAACUCGGGGCUCAACCCCGAGCCUGCAGUCGAUACGGGCAGACUAGAGUGCUGUAGGGGAGACUGGAAUUCCUGGUGUAGCGGUGAAAUGCGCAGAUAUCAGGAGGAACACCGGUGGCGAAGGCGGUUCUCUGGGCCUUACCUGACGCUGAGGAGCGAAAGCGUGGGGAGCGAACAGG